UGGCGAAGUGCGAGUAUUUCAACGCAGGAGGUUCAGUGAAGGACAGGAUAGGACUGAGAAUGAUUGAAGAUGCCGAGCGCCAAGGAAAACUCAACCCUGGAGACACCAUCAUUGAACCGGCAUCAGGCAAUAUUGGUCAGUCAGUCUACAUUAUUAUUUACUGUUAAUUAUUUUCAUUUAUUUAUUUAAUCAUUAUUUAUAGAUGGUGAAAAAAAUUCAUCAGGGACAAAAAAUUCCAAUACAAUGACUAAUAUCCUAAGAACCUAAAAAUCCUAAUCCUAACAUUAUAUUAACUUACAACAAUGUACCACUUAAAAACCUGAUUUCCAUGAAUGCUCUGUUUAAAAAUUAUGAUAGAGAAGGCGUUUAAAUUGGUUUAAUGGACCAGACUCUCUAAUGUUUCAGGUUUAGCUAUUCCAGACGGUUGCGCCGCUAUUACUGGGGCUUAAACUGAGGUAAUUGUGCCAAAACAUUAUUUAACAAACUACAAAAAACUACAGAACCGUGCAACGCAAUGGAUUUUCUUUGUUAUCACCAUGAUAUUGCCCUGAUCGCUUUGUUAAACAUUCAUUUAAAUUCUUGAAAGCUAGUUAUCCACCAACCCAGGAUAUGGAAGACGGUUCUCCUGUUAGUAACUGUCUGGUUUCCAGAAGGCCCUCGCUCACCAUAGGUCAUUUGAUAUAUCUUACUAUGUAUUCAAUACCAGUAUGUGCAUUGGGAGAAAGCAAACCUUCUCUUCAUAAGUUAAUUUAAUGUAACCCAAAAAAAUCAUUCAUAUGCUACCGACCAGUUCAUCUCUGAGUACUGCAUUUGUCAAGCUUUCCUUCAGAUUCGUACCAGUAGUACUUUUUGCCUGUUUCUCUAAUAAAUAGCUUAACAUUUUCUAGAAACAUACUCCACCUGCGCUCCAUUGGGUUCACAUCAGUUAUUAUCCUCGUGUCAAGACAUGUUCCCUUGCGAGGACAGGAUAAAGGUAACCUGGACACAGCCCAUCAAGUCCAAUACGCAGGAAAUCAUGUAGAUAUAGUGUAACCUGUUUCUUUCAGAAUCACAGGUUGGUUUUUCUCAAGGACUUAACAGCGAGAUCCCAAAUUCUGUCGUCUAAGAUAAGGUGAAGAAAAUAAGAAAUAGUUCAAUUCAAAUAUAAUGUCUGUCACCAUCGCAUAAACAACACAAGACCUGUCGUAAGGAACUGUUUAAACAUCAGUUUUUUUAUGACGAUACGCAACAAAAAAACCUCAAAUAAACAUAUGAAAUGAAUGUAGUGUAAAUCAAAACUAAUAAAUUUAACAAUUCCCACAUCACACCUCUAUAAGUAAGUUAGAUGUGAUUUUGGUGGUUUUCCUGACAUAAUUUAAAAUAGCUGACUGUGUAGAAAAUUGUAGCAGUGUACUGCCAAAAUGAUGUUUAUCAAUCAUCAGGAUUAAGAGGAACUUUGCGAUAAUCUAGUAAGAAAUAUCAAGCAUGCAUAUCUAUCGAACUGACCUCUGCUCAUAACUCAUGCACUUGUCAACUUAGUCAACGGGCAAUAAGUCAUAUGGAUUUCGUGAAUUUCUGGCAAAUAUCGAUUUAUUUGUUUAUUAAUAUACAAUAUUAAAUAAGGCUUAAAUGUGUUACUUUUUCGUUAGUAUCGAAAUGCGAGCAAUGCCUUGGUUCCAUAUGACGGAACAGAUGAAGAGAUAAUUCAGCAAUGUGGUGGUAAAGUUGACAUGGUAGUGCUUGGAGCUAGCACUGGAGGUACAAUCACUGGAGUAGCAAGGAAACACUAAGGAAAAAGUCCCAAAUGUUAAGGUUACGAAGUUAGUGCAAUAAAUAGCUAUUUUAACUCCUCAUCGGUGGUUAUAGAUUAUACAAUAUCGUGUCAUCUGACCGAAAAUUCCGAGGGUCUACAAGUACAUUGUAGUUUGAAUCCUUGUGAGGAUUCAAACCACAGGUUACACUAGACGCUACCCUUGACCACUUAUCUCGUAUCUUGGAUCACGAUCACUAUGCCGUUGUGGUUCACAGAGAACCCCGUAGGUAAUUUGAUAAUUUAUGAAAUGAUGAUGACAAUACAUGCAAUACCUAAUAUGUAUCAAUUGUUCGUGUUACCCUUCUUGGAAUCCAUUGUGGCUGGGGUUGGUUGUGAUAUGACCAGAAUGUAGAAGGCAGUAGCAUCCUUGCAGGUGUUCCAUCCGAGAUCACAACAAGCGAAUUGCAGUUCACACACACCUACCCUCUCCAAACUUCUUAAGCUGCUGAUAAAGCCCUUUACCUGUACAUAUUAAUAGCCCUGAAGAACUUUGAAUACCAGCUUGUGAUCAUUUUGUUCUCUAUUUCACGGUUAUGAUUUUGAUUCAACCCGGAUUCAAACAGGAUUCCGUUAAAGGAGAACAGCAUGAAAAAGAGAUAAUAUUAGGAAUUGUGACACAUAUCGACUUGUUGAACUUCGUUACUUUAAAUCAAAAAGAGAAUGGAGUGAACAACGACGAGUUACAUUAAUUUGGAGGCAGAAGCAUGGAAGAAGAAAAAACAGUUAACGAUUGUUUGUGUAAUUAGAUUGAUGAUUGUACCAAUUUAUUAGAUACUUGAUCGAUGAAUAAAGACAGAAGAUAGAAAGAAAUUGAAGAGUGAGCGUCUCCAUUAAAUGAAUACACAACAAGAUAACUUUAGUUAGUUGGUGCUUCUUCUUAGUUAUUGCCACUUCGUUAUUUUAGUAUUGGGAAUGUGAUUGGAAAUAACAUAUAGACAUCGUAAGUCUUUCGGCAAAAAAAUUAGAAGUCGUUUGAUCAUUUCUCAUUCCCUCAUCGACCUCGAAUUACAACUAGUUGAUUGUUAUCUUCUCUUACUGGGAGAAAAUAGUCUAUUCAACUUAACAAAAUACUCACAUUGAGCUACCAUUAAUUUUGAUCAAGAAUCACAGUCUCCUUUCGUGAAUUCGUGAAAUUAGGUAAAUUUGCUUUAUUGUGGAGAAAGUAGUUUACUCUGGUCAAAGUUAAUUUCCAUGCCGGAAUUCCCUAAAAUUUAUGCCAUGUCAAAUUUACGAUCUGGAAAGAACUCUUAUGGCUGUUUAACUUUAGCACGUCGAACACCUCUUUCGUUCAAGGUGACUGUCUCACCUUCAUAAUACCACUUGACGCACUUUGUAAUAAAAAGCUGUUGCAUAAAACUCUGGUUUAAGGACUUUAUUUUGCUUUGCACCUUAUAUCCAUGCUUUUCUAUAACAUGGCAUAUUCGUUUUGCUCAAUUUAGAUGGUUUUUUUACACUGAAAAUAAAUAUCACUCUGACAGUAAUCAACCACUGUCGCCAUGGCCGUAAAUUUGCAACUUUCAAUCUCGGCUAAGCACAUCGGUCCAAUGGUUACAUUUCAUUCAUAGGCAAGAAAAAACGUUGGGUAAUUUCUCGUUUGAUCAGUCGACCUAUCGACCGUCAUAAACAAAUUGCUGCCCUCGUGGAAUCUGUGAGGAAGAUUUCAGAGUACACAGCGUGUCCCUAAAUUUGUAAAUUCGCUUUCUCGGUGAAGACGCUUUGAAGAAUGCUUUGAACUUUAAAUCAUGGUCCAAAAAUAUUAUCCGCAAGAAGCUGUCCUCCCUCUUAGUACCAUGUCGACAUGUCGAUAUUCAAUAACUUUUAUCCUUGUUCCUUUCAGCUAACAGGAAAUAACACAGCCAUGAGUCUUGCCAAUGUUGGCAUUGCUGAAACAAAUUAAUUCCUGAAACUUACCAAGCUCUUAUUGGUCACACCCAUAAAUUAAAAAGAUAAAGUCUCUAGAUAUUGAAAUACAGUCGAACCUGCAUUAGGUGGUCACCCAGAUGGUCGGAAGGCUGUUAGACCCAAUGAUAACCAUUUUUGUCUUGUACGAGCAUAGUGACCUAAAUCUUUAUCGCAUAAUGUUGGUUUAUAAAUUAUCCCCUUUAAAUUAGAGAAAUAAAACAAAUUCAUCGAAGAGAAAGAUAUAGCUGAAGCACGUUACUCGAGUAUGCAAAUGUCCCUAAAAGAAACGACUCGAGGAACGUUCUGAGUCGAUGUCGUUUAAAAUUGCGUGAUUUUCCCCAAAUUAUUCGUAAAAUGUUCCAUUGUUCCAUACGGUUGAGACUUUCUACUUGUCAAGUUGUCAUUUUAAAAACCCUAACUUCCAGCUACCGCAGAAUGUACCGUGAACCGAAGAAAUGACGCGCGUGGUUAGUGCCUGUGCAGGUUUAAUUGGGGUAAGUUUGGCCCAUUAUAUCUCUUAAACAAACACGGUGACCUGUCUUUUUUAUUUUAUUUUUCGAAACAGACAUUAGUGGGGAAUAAUUAAGGAAAUCUUUAUAAGAAUUGUUCGCUAACUUAUUUGGGAGUAAUCAGUGAAGUAGUAACAGCAAGGAACAUAAAGCCUGAAAAAUAAAAUG